rnacentral:rRNA from 1 species
UACGUAGGGGGCUAGCGUUGUCCGGAACCAUUGGGCGUAAAGCGCGUGUAGGCAGUCCGGUAAGUCCGCUGUGAAAGUCGGGGGCUCAACCCUCGGAUGCCGGUGGAUACUGUCGGGCUUGAGUACGGAAGAGGCGAGUGGAAUUCCUGGUGUAGCGGUGAAAUGCGCAGAUAUCAGGAGGAACACCAAUUGCGAAGGCAGCUCGCUGGGACGUUACUGACGCUGAGACGCGAAAGCGUGGGGAGCAAACAGG